rnacentral:rRNA from 1 species
AGUGAACGCUGGCGGUAGGCCUAACACAUGCAAGUCGAACGGCAGCACAGUAAGAGCUUGCUCUUACGGGUGGCGAGUGGCGGACGGGUGAGGAAUACAUCGGAAUCUACUUUUUCGUGGGGGAUAACGUAGGGAAACUUAUGCUAAUACCGCAUACGACCUACGGGUGAAAGCAGGGGAUCUUCGGACCUUGCGCGAUUGAAUGAGCCGAUGUCGGAUUAGCUAGUUGGCGGGGUAAAGGCCCACCAAGGCGACGAUCCGUAGCUGGUCUGAGAGGAUGAUCCGCCACACGGGAACUGAGCCGCGGUCCAGCCUCCUCCGGGAGGAAGCGGGGGGGAAUAUUGAAGAAGGGGCGCAAUCCUGAUCCAGCAAUCCGGGGGGGGGGAAAAGGUCUGUGGGGUUGAAAAGCCUUUUGGUGGGGAAAAAAAAGCAGAGGGUUAAUACCCGGCUGUUCGCAGGGUCCCCAAAAAAAAACCACCGACAAUCUUCUCG